rnacentral:rRNA from 1 species
GAUGAACGCUAGCGGCAGGCUUAAUACAUGCAAGUCGUGGGGCAGCAGGUUUGUAGCAAAACAGAUGCUGGCGACCGGCAAACGGGUGCGGAACACGUACGCAACAUCUCUCUUUCUGGAAGAUAGCCCACCGAAAGGUGGAUUAAUACUCCAUAAUAUAUUGAAGCGGCAUCACUUGAAUAUUAAAGCUCAGGCGGAAAGAGAUGGGCGUGCGUUUGAUUAGGUAGUUGGGGUGGUAACGGCCCACCAAGCCAGCGAUUAGUAGCGGAUGUGAGAGCUUGAUCAGCCACACGGGCACUGAGACACGGACCCGACUCCUACGGGAGGCAGCAGUAAGGAAUAUUGGUCAAUGGACGCAAGUCUGAACCAGCCAUGCCGCGUGGAGGAUGACGGUCCUCUGAAUUGUAAACUUCUUUUCUCUGGGACGAAACCCCCGAUUUCUAUCGGGCCUGACGGUACCAGAGGAAUAAGCACCGGCUAACUCCGUGCCAGCAGCCGCGGUAACAC